rnacentral:rRNA from 1 species
GGAUCGUAAAGCACUUUCGCCAGGGAUGAUAAUUACAGUACCUGGUAAAGAAACCUUGGCUAACUCCGUGCCAGCAGCCGCGGUAAUACGGAGGGGGUUAGCGUUGUUCGRAAUUASUGGGCGUAAAGCGUACGUAGRCGGMUUGGCAAAGUUGGGGSUGAAAUCCCAGGGCUCAACCCUGGAACUGCCUCCAAAACUAUCAGUCUAGACGUUCGAGUAGAGGCUGAGUGGMAUUCCAAGUGUAGAGGUGAAAUUCGUAGAUAUUUGGAGGAACACCAGUGGCGAAGGCGGCUAACUGSCUCGAKACUGACGCUGAGGUACGAAAGUGUGGGGAGCAAACAGGAUUAGAUACCCUGGUAGUCCACACACGUAAACGAUGAAUGCCAGUCGUCGGGCAGUAUACUGUUCGGUGACACACUAACGGAUUAAGAUU